CUGGGGUGGAAAAUUAUUACGCGGACUAGGGGAGUUGGGGUGAGGCAGGAUUUCGUGGAUCUGAGAUAACCACACGUGAUCGCAAAGCCUAGCGAUACAGGCCGGUUUGAAUGAGCAGUACCGGGCCCAGCAUGGGUAUGACUCAAGGUUGACUGGAGCUCAGAAAAUCUGGAGGAAGGAAGCACAGCAGCGUGCAGACAGACCAGGUGCUGGAGGAGCUGAGAUUUCUACAUCGUGAUCCAAUUCCAGCCAGAGGAGUCUCUUCUGCAGGCAGCCACGAGGAGGGUCUGUUCCACACUGGGCAGAGCCUGAGCAUAGGAGGAGACCUCCAAGUCCACCCCUACAGUGACACACUUCUUCCAACAAGGCCACACCCCCAAACAAUGCCACCCCUGU
rnacentral:lncRNA from 1 species